ensembl:lncRNA
UGAUGACAUCAUCAGGAAGCUGUAUCUGAUUCAGUGUAUUCAACCAUGACCAUUUAUUGUUACACGUUCACGUUUUUUUUUGGAAGGUACAAAACCACCUCCACCGCCUCCACCACCACCACCACCAACAACAACAACAACAAUAACCACGACAACGGCUGCAACAUCAAAACCUCCACCACCGGCAACAACAGUGAGACAAACAACAACAACCAUGAUGAUGACAACGAGAACAGCAGCAACAACAACACAAACAAUGUCAGCAUCAGCAACAACUGACUCAAGCCUGGAACCACCUGAAAAAUCUAAUCCAGCCCUGAUCAUCACAGCUGUUGGUUUGGCAGCGCUCGUCAUAGCUGCUGUGGCCGUCAUCAUGUGGAGGAGAGCCAAAGGGACCAGAACACGGAGUGGAGACGAUGUUGCCGGAGCUGCAGAUGCUGAAGCUGCAGAUGCUGAAGCUGCAGAUGCUGUUUACUACGCCUCCAUCAGCCACGCCACCGACAGCAGCUCGGCCCGGGUAAGCCGCCUCAUCACAUCCAGCACGUGCUACGACACACUGAGCAUCAUGUGUUUGUGUGUCUGUCGUCUCCCAGCUUCCUGAACGUGACGCCGUGAUCUACAGCACCGUCCAGGCCCCCGUCAGCUCCGCUGCAGCCUCUGUGGACCCCGCCCACCUGUACGCCUCCGUGAAUAAGACGAGAGGCCUCACAGCUGAUGGUUUAUAUUAAUAAGCAGAUAUUUGUAGUGUGAACUGGAGACAAGAGCUCUGCUGCAGUGUUGUAUACAUUGACCAUGAUGUGUUGAUAUAUUUCUGUUAUUAUUAGUUCAUCAGCAUUUUAUUGAUUGUUGUAAAAAAGACUUUGUCCAGCAGGGGGAGCCAUAGAUCAAUAACAUCAGUCCAAAGCAGAGCAGUGUCAGAAGAGUCUGUCCACUUCCUGUUCAUGACCCAGAGGGCGCUAACUCCUCCAUGAACGGAGAUAAAAUCAUUAUUUUCACCUGCUUCUGGACUAAACAUCAGAUUUUUUCAUGUUUGACUCAUUUACACAGUAUUGAUUAAAUAUCAGAACUUAACUGAAACCAGCAAACUGUCGUUUAAUCUCUGUUACAGCUGAGGUCAUUUUGACAAUAACAUGUUAGCAUCAUGCUAACAGCUGCUGAUUGGUCAGUUCAGAUUAGGACUGAUGGUGACAGGAGCUCCUUUACAGAGACCCAGAGUCUGACCCCUGAACAAAGACUUUAGAAGAGGACCCGGAUCAAAACAGGGGUGAUGGUCUGCAGGGUAGAGGAGGAGGA